AUUUUGAUGACACCGUAUCAAAACAAAACUAACUCCAUUUUCGGAAGAGCUCCACGAACUAUCACCUUGAAAAACUAGAAAGAAAUCAACAUGGCAAGGCGGCCCCUAUCUCGGUUCACGAAAAUCAAUAUCGGAUGGUAAGUCUGUUUUCUAAGCUUCCCUUUCUCUCUCAUAUGUAUCUAAACAUUGCACAUUGCCUUGCAUACUUUGGCGAUCUUCCAUUUUAUCUCUUAUAUUAUUAUUAUUGUUAUAUAAGGCGGCGAGCUGGCAGAGUCGUUAGCAAGCCAGGCAAAUGCUUAGCGGCAUUUCGUUCAUCUUUUACGUACUGAAUUCAAAUUCCGCUGAGGUAGACUUUGCCUUUCAUCCUUUCGGGGCUGAUAAAUUAAGUACCCGUGAAUUACUGGGGUCGAUGUAAUCGACUGGUCCCCUCCCCCACAAAAUUUCAGGCCUUGUGCCUUUAGUAGAAAGGAUUAUUAUUAUUAUUAUUAUUAUUAUUAUUAAUAUGGCGGCGAGCUGGCAAAAUCGUUAGCACGCCGGGCGAAAUGCUUAGCGAUAUUUCGUCUGCCGUUACGUUCUGAGUUCAAAUUCCUCCGGGGUCGAUAAAGUUAGGGACAGACUUCUUUCAGUUUCUGUCUACCAAAUCCACUCACAAGGCUUUGGUCCGUUGAGGCUAUAGUAGAAGACACUUUGCCCAAGGUGUCCUGCAUUGAGACUGAACCUGGAACCAUGUGGCUGGGAAGCAAGCUUCUUACCACAUAGCCACUUUACAAGCAUAAAACAAAAGCUCCCUCCCGAUCUUAUUAUUUUGCAUGCAUUUUUAGUUCAAUAUUUCCUUGUUUCAUUUUUGUUAAUUUUAUGAAGAUUGACUUAUCUAACAUUUAAUUCCCUGCCACACCUUGAUAAUAAAUUAAUUUUCAGAUAUAGCUAUAACUAGAUAAACAUUGCAUAGUAUAUGUCUGUGGUUGUUGUUUUGCUACUGUUCAGUCCUGGUUGAUCAGACGUUCCAGUCUUGACCAUCUCUUCUGUGUAAAGGUAUUCUGUUGACUUGCCACCCUUGUUUAGAUCCAAUUUAUUCCUAAUGGAGCAGAUCUCUGAUCCAGCUAUGGCUACUCUGUGUAUUUGAACAAUACAGAAGAGAUCGGCCAAUGUAGCCUUAUUUAAGACAGUAGAGUGUGACUUGAUGAACAUACAGCAGCUUUUUCUAGCAGAUCGAACGACUGUGUAGAGGUUCCCUCAUUGCUUUGUGUAGCUGACUUAAGUUACAGUUAAAGGUAUCAGAGCAAUCAAGCUGAUUUGAUUUUUGACACUCUGCAUGAUUAUAAAAUAUUCUAUAAUGCAUCCAGUCAUCCCUUAAUAAGUAUGCCUACUAAUAAUGGAACAUUUUCAUUUUUGCAAUUAUUUUCAAAUUAUAUUUAAAAUUGAUUUUCUCUCUUUUCAGGGGUAUUCUCGUUGUGGUUGGCAUAACAAGUUUUGCUGUUGCCAGGACAUUGGUUCAAAGCCAGCGCUAUGAAGUGAUGAAGAGCAAACAGAGAGUUCGAGAUGCCUGUAAACAAGAUGUUUUGGAGGCAGAGGCUAAAACAUUAUCCUAGCAUUUGCACAAUAUACACCAAGUGCAUCUAGUUUUCAUGAGUUGCUGGAGAACUAUUUAGAAUGAAGCCAGUAUCAGCUUCUCUCUUUCUGGAGGAAAUGGCUUAUUCAAGAAAGGUUUCUAACAAUCAUUUUAAUAGUGAGAAAAGUGCAAAUGGCCAAAUCUCUGAACUGACAUUCAAUUUCCAAUUGCUGUAAUUUUAUUUCUUACAGCCUCGCGGAGCAAACGUAUAUGCAUCAUAAAACACCAUUUUGAUGUCAAUCAAUGUAUGUAUGCAUAUACAUAUGUAUGUGUAUGAAACCUCUUACCCUUCAUAUGCACUAACAUGGAAUGUAAAAUGAAAACAUGGGUGUUUAAAGAAAUGAAAAUGUUCUACAUUUUCAUUUCUUUAAACACCCAUGUUAAAUUGAUUUAAUACAAGUUUUUUCGCAGAUGUGUUAUUGUGAUAAUGAUUAAAUUAUUUCUGGCUUUCAAGCUCAUCUUUUCAUACAAUUAUGUUUAAUUCUUUCAGUACCCACUCACCUGCCUAAAACUGCUUAUAUUAAAACAUUCAUAUCUUAAAUUCUCAAUCCAGUUUUCAUUAUUACAUGAGUAAAAUACAAAAUUAUUUUAGUAGUUAAA
rnacentral:lncRNA from 1 species